rnacentral:rRNA from 1 species
CUACGGGGCGCUGCAGUGGGGAAUAUUGCACAAUGGAGGAAACUCUGAUGCAGCAACGCCGCGUGGAGGAUGACACUUUUCGGAGCGUAAACUCCUUUUAUAUAGGAAGAAGAUGACGGUACUAUAUGAAUAAGCGCCGGCUAACUCCGUGCCAGCAGCCGCGGUAAUACGGAGGGCGCAAGCGUUACUCGGAACCACUGGGCGUAAAGAGCGUGUAGGCGGAUUAAAAAGUCAGAAGUGAAAUCCUAUAGCUUAACUAUAGAACUGCUUCUGAAACUCUUAAUCUAGAAUAUGGGAGAGGUAGAUGGAAUUUUUGGUGUAGGGGUAAAAUCCGUAGAGAUCAGAAGGAAUACCGAUUGCGAAGGCGAUCUACUAGAACAUUAUUGACGCUGAGACGCGAAAGCGUGGGGAGCAAACAGGAUUAGAUACCCUGGUAGUC